rnacentral:rRNA from 1 species
GACGAACCGAGCGACCGUUGUUCGGAAUCACUGGGCUUAAAGGGCGCGUAGGCGGCCCGCUAAGUCGAACGUGAAAUCCCCAGGCUUAACCUGGGAACUGCGUCCGAUACUGGCAGGCUUGAAUCCGGGAGAGGGAUGUGGAAUUCCAGGUGUAGCGGUGAAAUGCGUAGAUAUCUGGAGGAACACCGGUGGCGAAGGCGGCAUCCUGGACCGGCAUUGACGCUGAGGCGCGAAAGCUAGGGGAGCAAACGGG